CUCCCUCUCUUUACCACACAACAUGGCUGGCAUUGAUGAGGAGACCUAACAAGGCCGUUACAUACGCUAACAUCAAGCAUGGCGAGUCAGGCCAUCUCUCCCAGACGCGGACCCAGCCCCACCACAAAGAUUGUAAAAACUUACAUAUUGGGGUCUACUUGAACGCCAGGACCUGGACACACACACAGGAACAGUAUUGUACAUUAAGUUCUGUAUGGAAGCUGUGUCUGUAGAAUUGGCAUCCGGGUUUUUUCCUAACCGGAAACUCUGGAUGACCAGCCAGCCACCUCGCCAGCAGUCGAUCCUGGGGUUUCUGAUGUCAAUGUGACACCAGGAAAUUUUGUUUUUUCAUUUUUGGUUCUAAUCAUGUCUACUGUACUGUGGCGUGUACUUGUGCAUAAUGUUGACGGUACGAUUGAUUGUCGAUGUGGGUCAGAUGAGUCUUUCCUCAGGUGGAACUUUGAGCAUUCUGUCCAUGGCCAAGCGAGCCCCUGCCAGUUCCUCGGCGCUGGGACUGUACGCCCCCUCCGACUGGCGCUUCUUUCUCGUCGUUCGUAUCAUGAAGCCCAAAGCGGGGAUGAAAACGAGGACGCAGAAGGACAACAGGGGGAGCGCCACUGCCAGCCAGGAGACCUCUUCUGCACGCGCUUGUUGCUGGGAAGUAAAGGCAAGCCACAAAAGGAGACGUGAGUGAGGAAUCAAACGUGGCGUGUUGGCACCACUGGAUACGUAGAUUUCCUCCUCAUCGGCGUCGUUCCAGGCGUCCACCUCCAGAUGAACUAAAUCCAAACGAAAGUCCUGCAGGCAGCCUUUGUAAUGUCCUCCCCACGGCCGAGAGUCCCACUCUUCUGGAAGUCCUCCGAGAGGAAGAAUAAAUCCUGAGGGUGAAAAUACGUCAAGUCAUCGUGGAUUGUCUUCCUUAUUCUGUACCACAGGAUUUUCAAGGCAUACAACCCCUCCAGGUGGUGGAGGGGCAACAAAAACAAGGCAAAUAAAAGACUUUUCCCAGUAGCAUGCCUGGAUUGUUCACCCACUAAUUGUGAACGUGAGCUGGGAUUAGGCCGUCGUGAGACAGGCAGCUCCGUUGAGGCAUGGCUGACUCUCGCACUCGUCGACAUCCGCUUCACAGUGGACGCCUUGAAACCCAGUUGAUUCCUGACGUGGAAGAGGAAACACAAGUUUAUGGUGACGUCAUAACGAUGCUGGUCGUGCUGGUCUUGCUGGUAUGUUAUCAUGCUCUACUAUGGUGGCCUUUUUUACUGCAUGCUUUGUAGUCUUGGGGGAAAUUCAGAAAUUUCAAAUUAAAUAUUUCAGUAUUGAACAAAGCAAAAUUUGUUCAAAAUCAAAAUCAAACUCUUUAUUGCUCUCUGGUUCUACCAUAUCUUACUUAUUGAAAUAUCGGCUAAUAACUAUAAAAUGACCCCUGUUCUCCAAAACCUCCACUGGCUUCCCGUCCCCCAAAAUUCUUCUCAUCACCAACAAAGCCCUCCACGAUCUGACCCCCCCAUAUCUCACAGACGUCCUCCAUCCACACAAUCCCCCGCGUCCCCUUUGCUCCUCACACUCAAACCUCCUGGCACUCCCCUGUAAGACCAAGCUCCGAACCUGGGGAGACAGAGCCUUCUCCAUCGCUGCCCCCACUCUCUGGAACUCUUUGCCCCAUUCACUCCGUGCUUGCCCUGACCUUAACACCUUCAAAAAACAACUCAAAACCCACCUCUUUAAUGUCUAACUUUUUUAUAUCUGACUGCUGUGCCCCGCCACCCCCCACCACCCCCGCUUUUACUCAUGUUUUAACUGUGUAUUAACCAAUGAAUGUUGUAUUUUGGUGUCUCUUCUAUUCGCUUUACUUGCUUUAUUCAACUUCACUCUUCUGUAAAGUGUCUUUAGAGUAUUUUGAAAAGCGCUAU